GCUCCUUAGCACAGCACAGGCUUAGGGACAAGUCUUCUGCAUGUUCUGUCAGGAGCUUCUUCCCACUAUUUUAACUAAAACAGGGUGAAAAGGAUGAAAGCAAUAACUCUCCCUAUUUUCUUUCCCUGCACAGGGGUAGCUGAUCCAGUGUCCUUGACUUUCCAGAUUGUUUUCUCCACUGAAUAAUCAAGAAGCAGUUGCUCCUAUGCAAACACAAAGGAUUUGAAGCAAAGACCUCCUGUUUGAAAAACCCAGCAGCAGCAGCACCUGGUGCCUGUUCUUCUGCUAGUCUGCAAACUCCAGAAAUGCUAUGAAAUGGCAAAACACAUCAUGAAGGCAGGAUUUUUGCAGAUGAUUAAGGCUAAGAAGGCAUUUUCUUGCUGAGCCAAUUAUUGCCUUUCAUAAAAUUGAUAAAUUAAUAGGCUUAAUCCUCCAAAAAUAAUAGUCUUAGCAUGCUAUAAUGCCAUCUGAAAAUUAUUGACUCUUAAAAAUGUAGCCUUCUAGAUAAAUGUUGAUCUGGUUACCUCCAGCUGCCUUCCCACAGUAAGUGCUUUUAUUUGAUCAGACAAAAGUCUUGUGAAGCUGUCAUCACCCAGGACAAUUAAUUCAGUGUCAGAUAUCCAGGUUCAUUUUAGAGUCUGCCUCUGACAUGCACCCUCUAUCACUGCCAAGUGCACCUUAUGAGCACCUUCUUGCUGUGUCAGGGAAGCCCUGACCUGAGGCGUAACACAACAUUAUGGUGACAUACAGGAGGUUCCUCCUACCACAGGGGGCUGGUGCAGACCUUCCAGUCACCCUGCACCCUACUUGCCUUUCCCUUUCCAACUGGUUUGAUAAACUAGCUGCGCAGAAGUUUUCCCUGUGACAUCUGUUUGCCACUUAGGUCACAUUACUUAUUAAAUAGUGUUGCACUUUUCUGAAAAUAACAUUUUCCCACCUCCCAUUUAAAUAGGUAAAAUAUCUUCAUCUGUUUCAAAGAAGAGUCUAUCAACACUGAAAAAGAGAGUAGUAUUCAUCUUCAUCUGAGACAGUUUUGGUUUUUUGGUUUUUUUUAUUCAUCAAUAGUUGCAAAAGUUUUUGACAGCUGGAAUGAGGCUGUUUGGUCUCAUUUUGUCAGCUCACAUAUUGCAGCAGACAUUUGCAAAUACUGUGGAUUCUUUUUAACAAGUACCUAUUCUACGAUGCAGGAGAUUUUCCCCAUUGGUAAGAUAAUAUUGGCCUUAACGGUAGAAAGCACUCUUCUCUGAUUCAGUUUUUGUUGGUCUGGGUUGGAAUA
rnacentral:lncRNA from 1 species